GCUCAGGUCUGCGCGAAGCUGUCGCGGGAGCAGGCACCUUGUGGUCAGCUCUGGGACCCGCAUUUGCAGUGAGUGCGUGGAGCCCCAGGCAAGGCCUGGGAAAGGUUGCAGGUGAAGAGAGGGCACCCUGUCGUCCUGCCAAGGAAAAAUUGGCGGCUGAAAAUGUUUCUGGCUUCUUGGAGAAGGUGAGGCUGGACGAGGAAACAGGAAGUUAAUUUGGCUAGGAGAUAAACCGUCACUCACCCUGCAUGUAACCUGGACGUGACCUGCACGUCCUGGGAGCUUCUGUUUUCCUGUCCCCACGCACUCGCAGCGUGCAGACCAAUAUGGUUUCCAGUUAUUUAUAUACUUAUUUACUGUCUGUCUCCCUCUGCUAGACUGUGCUCUUUUUGAUAGCAUAGGCCCUGGCUCAGUCCAUGCCCUAAGUACUGGUGAAGUGGGUAAAUUAAUCGUUGAGAAAAUUUCUGAUCGCUUCUUGGUCUUUUGGCUAAGAUCAAGUGGAGAAAGCCUCUGAAUGG
rnacentral:lncRNA from 1 species